rnacentral:rRNA from 1 species
UUGGAGGGCAAGUCUGGUGCCAGCAGCCGCGGUAAUUCCAGCUCCAAUAGCGUAUAUUAAAGUUGUUGCAGUUAAAAAGCUCGUAGUUGAAUUUCGGGAUCAAUUUGCCGGUCGAGACCCCUGGUACGUACUUGUAUUAUUGAUUUCUUUCAUUCUGAUAAAUCAUUGAUGUCAUUAAUUUGAUGACUUUGAGGAAUCGGAACUUUUACUUUGAAAAAAUUAGAGUGUUUAAAGCAGGCUUAUUAGGCUUGAAUACAUUAGCAUGGAAUAAUGAAAUAGGACGAUUGAUCCUAUUUUUGUUGGUUUCUAGGAUUGACGUAAUGAUUAAUAGGGAUAGUUGGGGGCAUUAGUAUUCAAUUGUCAGAGGUGAAAUUCUUGGAUUUAUUGAAGACUAACUACUGCGAAGGCAUUUGCCAAGGAUGUUUUCAUUAAUCAAGAACGAAAGUUAGGGGAUCGAAGACGAUCAGAUUCCGUCGUAGUCUUAACCAUAAACUAUGCCGACUAGGGAUCGGAUGAUGUUAAUUUUUUUUAAUGACUCAUUCGGCGCCUUACGGGAAACCAAAGUGUUUGGGUUC